rnacentral:rRNA from 1 species
AGUGAACGCUGGCAGUAUGCCUAACACAUGCAAGUCGAACGCCAGCACAGUAAGAGCUUGCUUUUCCGGGUGGCGAGUGUCGGACGGGUGAGGGAUACAUCGCAAUCUACUUUUUCGUGGAGGAUAACGUAGGGAAACUUACGCUAAUACCGCAUACGACCUACGGUUGAAAGCAGUGGAUCUUCGGACUUUGCGCGAGUGUAUGAGCCGAUGUCGUAUUAGCUAGUUGGCGGGGUAACGGCCCACCAAGUCGACGAUCCGUAGCUGGUCUGAGAGGAGGAACGGCGACACUGGAAGUGAGACGAGGGCCAGACGGCGACGGGGAGCAGGAGCUGAGUAUAUUGGACGAUAGGCGCAAGCCUGAUUGAACAAUAGCGGGUAGGUGAAGAAGGCCUUCGUGUGUGAAAGCUGUUUGUUUGGGGAAGAAAAGCUGCAGGUUAAAGGGCAGCUGUUAUGACGGUACCCAAAGAAUAAGCACCGGCUAACUACGUG